rnacentral:rRNA from 1 species
CCUACGGGUGGCAGCAGUCGAGAAUCAUUCACAAUGGGGGAAACCCUGAUGGUGCGACGCCGCGUGGGGGAAUGAAGGUCUUCGGAUUGUAAACCCCUGUCAUGUGGGAGCAAAUUAAAAAGAUCGUACCACAAGAGGAAGAGACGGCUAACUCUGUGCCAGCAGCCGCGGUAAUACAGAGGGCUCAAGCGUUGUUCGGAAUCACUGGGCGUAAAGCGUGCGUAGGCUGUUUCGUAAGUCGUGUGUGAAAGGCGCGGGCUCAACCCGCGGACGGCCCAUGAUACUGCGAGACUAGAGUAAGGGAGGGGGAACCGGAAUUCUCGGUGUAGCAGUGAAAUGCGUAGAUAUCGAGAGGAACACUCGUGGCGAAGGCGGGUUCCUGGACAUUAACUGACGCUGAGGCACGAAGGCCAGGGGAGCGAAAGGGAUUAGAUACCCGUGUAGUC